rnacentral:rRNA from 1 species
AUUGAACGCUGGCGGCAGGCCUAACACAUGCAAGUCGAGCGAGCGGCGGACGGGUGAGUAAUGUAUGGGGACUGCCCGAUAGAGGGGGAUAACUACUGGAAACGGUAGCUAAUACCGCAUACUAUCGGAUAACCCAUAUGGGAUUAGCUAGUAGGUGGGGUAAUGGCUCACCUAGGCGACGAUCCCUAGCUGGUCUGGGAGGAUGAUCAGCCACACUGGGACUGAGACACGGCCCAGACUCCUACGGAGGCAGCAGUGGGGAAUAUUGAACAAGGGGCGCAAGCCUGAUGCAGCCAUGCCGCGUGUAUGAAGAAUGCCUUCGGGUUGUAAAGUACUUUCAGCGAGGAGGCGUUACUCGCAGAAGAAGCACCGGCUAACUCCGUGCCAGCCGCCGCGGUAAUAC